AUAAUCAUUUGCCAUUUAAUUGGUGGCUGGAAUGAAUGAAUAUACGAGAGCAUAACUGUCUCUUAUUUAUAAAUAAAAAUUGACCUUCAAGUGAAGAGACUUGAAUCUUUUAAAAAGACGAAAGACCCUAUAGAGCUUUAUCAAAAAGAGAGCUUUCUUUCCUAUGAUUUUGUUGGGGCAACAAGAGAAAAUCUAAAUCUUCUCUAUAAUUUUGUAUACAGAUCCGCUAUGCGAUCAUUAAAUAAAGCUACCAUAGGGAUAACAGGCUAAUUCUUUUUGAGAG
rnacentral:rRNA from 1 species